rnacentral:rRNA from 1 species
GCAGGGUGCGGCGGGGGCGACGGUGGUGGGAAGGGCGGGGUACGGGGUGCGCCGGUGCGGCGGAGCAAGGGGUGGAGCAAGGGGUUGCACUUCGUACGUAAAAAAAACAGCUAGGAAGGCGACGAGGACAGGUUGCUGGUACACACAUGAGGAACGCGUCGCCGCCCCGUGCCGCCGGCCCGCGGGAGGAAAGAGCGGGAGGAACGCGCCGCCGACGAACCGCCUAGCGUUUCUCCAUCCACCUCCUCGAGUGGGUCCUCGGGCGGCCUCAGUUUCCAGAGGAAAAAGGUGAAGAGGAGGGAAGCUAGAUGACGCGGGUAACGUUAAAGAAGAAAUAGAAGAAUCUAACCAGCCCGGUACAGGUGGGUUAAAGAAGUAGAAGAACCUAAAGAUGUCCGCAAACUACACUCCUUGUUCGUCCGAAGCGAGUUCCGGCUGCUAAGCCACACACACCACCGUCAAAUUCCUCACCGCUUUAGAAGACAACCUAACGACGUACGAGACCAGACUUUCAAACACGAAACUUCCUCACCGUUGUAGAAGUCCACCUUCCUCUCCGUCAAGUUCCUGUAGACGCCGUUACCAGACUUAACUAAGUCCUGACGGAUGGAUCGUCGUCGUCGUCGUCUCCGGCCCGUUAAGGUGACUUAAAACCAGCUUCGUCCUGUUAAGUUUCGUCGUCGUCUCAAGCAAACCAACUUCGUCGUCGUCGUCAUCCGCAGCCCCCCGUCGUGUCAGCCGCUCCUUCCUCAGCCUCCCCUUCCUCUCUGACCCGACCGCUAGCCUUAGAGGGUCGUCGUCUCUGCCCCGGCCGCUAGCCUCAGAGUUUCAUCGUCUCUGCCCAACCGUCGCCACGUCCAGCUCCACCCGCCGCGGCGUCACCGACCAGCGCGUCCACCCGCCGCAAUAGUGUGUCCACCAGCGGCCGUCCACCAGCGCUGCCUAGCUCCUGGCCGAGCGGACCACCAGCGCCGCAACCCGCCGCCUUAGGCGCCCGUCGACCACCGCCCACCCGCCGCCACGCACCAACGCCCACCCGGCACUCACGUCCUUAGAGGUCG